rnacentral:rRNA from 1 species
CUACGGGUGGCAGCAGUGGGGAAUAUUGCACAAUGGGCGCAAGCCUGAUGCAGCCAUGCCGCGUGUAUGAAGAAGGCCUUCGGGUUGUAAAGUACUUUCAGCGGGGAGGAAGGGAGUAAAGUUAAUACCUUUGCUCAUUGACGUUACCCGCAGAAGAAGCACCGGCUAACUCCGUGCCGGCAGCCGCGGUAAUACGGAGGGUGCAAGCGUUAAUCGGAAUUACUGGGCGUAAAGCGCACGCAGGCGGUUUGUUAAGUCAGAUGUGAAAUCCCCGGGCUCAACCUGGGAACUGCAUCUGAUACUGGCAAGCUUGAGUCUGGUAGAGGGGGGUAGAAUUCCAGGUGUAGCGGUGAAAUGCGUAGAGAUCUGGAGGAAUACCGGUGGCGAAGGCGGCCCCCUGGACGAAGACUGACGCUCAGGUGCGAAAGCGUGGGGAGCAAACAGGAUUAGAUACCCGGGUAGUC